rnacentral:rRNA from 1 species
CCUACGGGAGGCAGCAGUGGGGAAUAUUGGACAAUGGGCGAAAGCCUGAUCCAGCAAUGCCGCGUGAGUGAUGAAGGCCUUAGGGUCGUAAAGCUCUUUUACCAGGGAUGAUAAUGACAGUACCUGGAGAAUAAGCUCCGGCUAACUCCGUGCCAGCAGCCGCGGUAAUACGGAGGGAGCUAGCGUUGUUCGGAAUUACUGGGCGUAAAGCGUACGUAGGCGGUUAUUCAAGUCAGAGGUGAAAGCCCGGGGCUCAACCCCGGAACGGCCUUUGAAACUAGGUAGCUAGAGUCUUGGAGAGGUCAGUGGAAUUCCGAGUGUAGAGGUGAAAUUCGUAGAUAUUCGGAAGAACACCAGUGGCGAAGGCGACUGACUGGACAAGUACUGACGCUGAGGUACGAAAGCGUGGGGAGCAAACAGGAUUAGAUACCCUGGUAGUCCACGCCGUAAACGAUGAUAACUAGCUGUUCGGGUACUUGGUAUCUGUAGUGCGCAGCUACGACAUUAAGUUAUUCCGUCCGUGGGUAGGUACGGUCGCGAGAAUAAACUACAAGAAGUAGACGCGNGAGACGNGCGAGGACGACGACGAGGGAGAGG